GAAUCUUAUGCAGCUAUUGUAUCUGGAAUCGAUCUCUUCUUUGAGAUUUUUAGAAUUGGUAAAAGAACAAGAAAGCUUUAGAUGUGCUGCGUAGAGCUGCAACUAAAGAUGGUGGUCAUUGCUUUGGAUGCUAAAUGAUGUGGAGAAGAAUCAAUUUCCUUCGGAUUGUUCUUGAAAAGGGUUUAGUAGUCUGUUUUUGCGGAUGCUGAUGUGAUGUGGUUCAUGAACUAAUUUGCUUCUCAAUGCUUUCAAUAUUUAAUGCUUUCUUAUGAUUUCUUUGUUGAGUUGCAUUUGACUGAGAACUCUCGUGAGAUGCUUCACAUACUUACAAAGUCUCAGUCUGCGCGCAUGGAAUGGUAUUGUAUAUCAGAAGACCAUUCAAUAUGGAGAUGUUGUAGUAAUUGUCGCGUAGGCUUCUUUCUUAUGCUUGUGUCUUUUCUAUAUUGUUGUGCAAUCUGCUAGUUUUCCAGUAUAUGGCAAUUAUAAUAUUGUAUAGUUAGGUAUUAGCAUGAGGAAUUCAGCUGACAAUCGGUUGAUUAAGGUAUUUAUCAAUGGGAUGGAGCCCAUCACAACAAAUAUGAUAUGACUCAAAAUUUGUUGUCCUUAUUGUCUCUCUCUUCUUUCUGGAAUAUUUUUGUAUGCCUAUGUUGAUUUUUAAAUCUCCCAUAAUACUCAUUUUGUUGCAGGUGAAAAAGUUUUAGCAAGCACAAAGUUGCAGCUCUUCAAUGGAGAUUAUUAAUUUAGAAAUGCCAAAAGAUAGAUUUGCUAGAUAUAUGUAUAAUUGUUCAGUUAUAUUCAUUGUAAAACAGAUUUCUUUUUGGGCGGCAAUUGAUUUUAUAUAUAAU